UAUAUAAAGUCUAACCUGCCCACUGAAAUAUUAAAGGGCCGCGGUAUAUUGACCGUGCGAAGGUAGCAUAAUCAUUAGUCUUUUAAUUGAAGGCUGGAAUGAAUGGUUGAACAAAAAAUAUCCUGUCUCACUAUUAAAAUUAAAAUUUGACUUUUAAGUAAAAAGGCUUAAAUAAUAUAGAAUGACGAUAAGACCCUAUAAAGCUUUAUAUUAAAAAAAUAAUUAAUAAAUUUGAAUUUAAAAAUUACUUAUUUUAAAAAUAUUGUGUUGGGGCGACAAAAAUAAAAAUUGUAACUGUUUAUUUAUUAAAAACUAUAAUAAAAGAAAAAGUGAUCCUUUAGUAAAGAUUAAAAGAUUAAGUUACUUUAGGGAUAACAGCGUAAUCUUUUUUAAGAGUUCAUAUCGACAAAAAGACUUGCGACCUCGAUGUUGAAUUAAGAAGUCCUUUUGGUGUAGCAGUUAAAAAGGAAGGUCUGUUCGACCUUUA
rnacentral:rRNA from 1 species